UACGAAGGGGGCUAGCGUUGCUCGGAAUCACUGGGCGUAAAGCGCACGUAGGCGGAUUGCUAAGUCAGGGGUGAAAUCCUGGAGCUCAACUCCAGAACUGCCUUUGAUACUGAAGAUCUUGAGUUCGGGAGAGGUGAGUGGAACUGCGAGUGUAGAGGUGAAAUUCGUAGAUAUUCGCAAAGAACACCAGUGGCGAAGGCGGCGUCUGGGGAAGAUACUGACGCUGAGGUGCGAAAGCGUGGGGAGCAAACAGG
rnacentral:rRNA from 1 species